CAUACAUUCUUGAUUCUACAAACCUCCUCCUUCGUCACCUUCAUAUCCAAGCCUCGCCUCUGAGAGGGUUUAAGCAGUCGGAAACACCAUUGCUCCGCCGCAGCGAUUCCUCUCUUUGUUGUGUGAGCUCGCCAAAUAAUCGGCAAAAUGUAUAGAAGUAGAGCCACCAUACUCACAUCCAAAUCAUUGAGAACUCUAUCAAAGGUACGCAGACAAUCUCAUCAUUUAGAAUCGUUAAAGUUCGUUACUUUUUCAAGAAAUAUCAGCACUGCUACUCAAAUAUCUGAGAUUGACAACUAUAGUGAGUUGAAGGGGGGAAAUAGCAGUGAUUUUCAGCAAAAUCCAGAUGGGGUUUUCAAUUAUAGCUCGAAUAAUACGGGUUCUUUGAAUAAACUAAGCUGGAAGGGUCAGGAAUGGGCAUAUAAUCAGCAGUUGUCUCGUAGCACGGAAGGCGGCGGGAGUUAUAGUGGAAAUUCUAGGAGAAUCGAGCAGAACCCUUGUGGGGUUUAUCCGCAAAAACCUAGAACUGAAUUUCGAGAACCAAAGGAUACCAAUAGGUUUCAGCAGAACCCGCAUGCGGAAAAUGGGAACUUUUCAUCUGGGUAUGUUAAUGUUUCAUCUAGAAAUGAGUUUCAGCAAACUGUUGGGAGAAAUGGGAGUUUAUCCUCAAGCAGUAAUGAUUUCGCUUCUCGAAAGGAUUAUCAAAGUGAUGUAGUUCAUAAUAUAAGUGAUAGUGGUUACCAUGGUGAAAAUUCGUCAAAUUUGCUGCGUAGUUCCAGGUUUGAGGGAGGUUUAGAAGCUCAGCCAAGUCAAAAUGGAGUAUAUGGACAGUAUCAACAGAAUUUAACUGGUUAUUAUGGUGGAAAGAGUGAAAUGUCACAGCAGAAUUUCAGUGGCAGUUACACGAGAAACGUAGGAGUGCCUCAGCAAAACCCUCCCAAUUAUGACCCUGGAAAUGUAAGGAAUGUUCAAUCUGAAAAUUCUGAAACGUAUCCACGAAAUGCAAGUGGGUAUAACAUGGAAAGGCAUACGAAUUCAAGUGGCUACUCAAGGGAAAUGAUGGGGGGAUAUCAGCAAAACUUAAGCGGCUUUAACCCUUCUAGUGCUGGACAUCAAGCUUCUUAUCAAUCUCAGAAUGGAAUAGUAGGCCAUCAAGAAAUGAGAAGUUCAACACCUGUUGAACAGUCGAUUGAUUCUGCUGAUAGCAGCAGUAAAAAAGGUUCAGUUGAUGAGCUCGAUGACUUCUGUAAAGAUGUCAAAAUAAAGGAGGCAGUAGAAGUUUUGCAUUUGUUGGAGCAGCAACAUGUCACAGUCGAUUUGUCUCGAUAUAUUAUGUUGAUGGAUGUGUGUAGUGAGGAUAAAUCCCUUGAGGAUGCUAAAUCAAUUCAUGAGCACCUUGUGAGAUCUCAUCCUCAUCUUGACAUCAAAAUGUACAAUAAGAUUCUUGAAAUGUAUGGAAAAUGUGGCUCCAUCAAUGAUGCCUUCUUGGUGUUUCGAAAAAUGCCUCAGCGUAAUCUGACUUCUUGGGACACAAUGAUUACAUGGCUUGGUAAGAAUGGACUUGGAGAAGAUGCAAUAGAAUUGUUCGGGGAAUUCAAGAAAACUGGGAUGAAACCUGAUGGCCAAAUGUUUCUAGGAGUCUUCCAUGCUUGUAGUGUUGUUGGUGAUAUAGUUGAGGGUAUGUUGCACUUUGAAUCAAUGAGUAAGGAUUAUGACAUUGUUCUCUCCAUGGAGCAAUAUGUGGGAGUGGUAGAUAUGCUGGGAAGUACGGGAUAUCUUGAUGAAGCUAUGGAGUUCAUUGAAAGGAUGCCUAUAGACCCAAGUAUUGAAGUAUGGGAAACCAUGAUGAAUCUCUGUAGAAUUCACGGGAACUUGGAGCUUGGGGAUCGUUGUGCUGAGAUUGUUGAGCUCCUAGACCCAUCUCGUUUGGAUGAACAGUCAAAGGCAGGUUUUUUGGAUGUAAAAGCAUCAGACAUCGCUAAGGAGAAAGAGAAGAAGAAAUCUGCCCAAAGUCUUCUUGAGGCUAGAAGCAAAGUUCAUGAAUAUCGUGCAGGGGAUAGGUCACAUCCCGAUCAUGAGAAGAUAUAUGCAUUGCUUAGGGGUUUAAAGCAGCUAAUGAAGGAGGAUGGUUAUAUACCAGAGACUAAGUUUGUGUUACAUGACGUAGACCAAGAAACUAAAGAGGACGCUUUAAUGGCUCACAGCGAGAGAUUGGCUUUUGCUCAAGGUCUUAUGAAUAGCUCUGCACGAUCACCAAUCCGGAUUAUAAAGAAUCUGCGUGUCUGUGGUGAUUGCCAUAAUGCAUUGAAGAUUGCUUCAAAGCUUGUUGGUCGGGAAAUUAUCAUGCGAGAUGCUAAGAGAUUUCAUCAUUUAAAAGAUGGAUUGUGCUCGUGUCGGGAUUAUUGGUGAAGAUCCUACCCUUCAGGAGGUCACGGGUUCAAGCCUUGGAAACAGCAUCUGACAGAAAUGCAAGCUUUAGCACAACCAAGACUCAAGAGUGUAGAGCAAAGCUAUCAUUCAUAGCAGAUGUUAUGUUUUCUACUUACUCUUAUCAGCUGUGAGUGUCGCGCUGUUCAAAGAUCGGCAAGUACCUACCAUAUUUGAUGCCACAUGAUCUCUUGAUUUGGUUAGUGCUGGUGAAGUGUCAAUAUGCAUAAGUUGUCCAGAAAGGAUACAAAGGUUAGCUCAAUAGCAGAUACUUGGUCAUUAUUCUAAAGAUUGUGAAGGACGAACGACCAAGUUUUUGACUCAUCGAGAAACAUAAAGAGCUUCUAUACUCUGUUCACCCCGGAACAAGACCAGACGAGAAAACCAAUCUUCUCAAACAGGAUUAGCUAGACUGUUGUCCAUGAAGUGGAGUUGUUUUCUAAGUCUGAAGUUACUAACUGUUUCACAUUCUGAAGUAUAGAGAUUAAUAGGAUAGGAUCCUUAGGGUUCAAAAUAUUUUCAUUUGAGUACUUCUAUUCUUUUUAUGGAACAGUAAUAUUAGUAACAUGGCUGUUGUAUCCUUGUGCUUUGGUGGUCUCCUUUUUCAUGUUUGAACACAGUUGGAGUUGGUUCAAUUGUCCAAUUUCAACAGUUGAAAUCAGAACCUGCUCAUUUUGUUAUGCUGCUAUUGUUUACACUUAUUGGUUAAUGUCCAUGGACUUCUACUACUGGUUCAGUUCACCACAUGUAAUUAUUUUGGAAGUCAUAUCAUAAAAUAUAUAAUUCAUACAUUUGUUUGUUU